rnacentral:rRNA from 1 species
GAUGAACGCUGGCGGCGUGCCUAACACAUGCAAGUCGAGCGAACAGACGAGGUGCUUGCUCCUCUGACGUUAGCGGCGGACGGGAGAGUAACAUGUGGAUAACCUACCUAUAAGACUGGGAUAACUACGGGAAACCGGAGCUAAUACCGAAUAAUAUAUUCAACCGCAUGGUUCAAUAGUGAAUGACGGUUUUGCUGUCACUUAUAGAUGGAUCCGCGCCGCAUUAGCUAGUUGGUAGGGUAACGGCUUACCAAGGCAACGAUGCGUAGCCGACCAGAGAGAGGGAUCGUCGACAGUGGAAGUGAGACACGGUCCAGACUGCUACGGGAGGCAGCAGUAGGGAAUCUUCCGAGAUGGGCGAAAGCCUGACGGAGCAACGCCGCGUGGGUGAUGAAGGUCUUCGGAUCGGAAGACUCUGUUAUUAGGGAAGAACAAAUGUGUAAGUAACUAUGCACGUCUUGACGGUACCUGAUCAGAAAGCCACGGCUAACUACGUG